rnacentral:tRNA from 1 species
GGGGCGGUAGCUCAGCUGGUUAGAGCAGAGGACUCAUAAUCCUUUGGUCGUGGGUUCGAGCCCCACCCGCCCCA